ensembl:lncRNA
UGCUCCUACAGAACCCUUUGUCAACUUGAAUGAGAUGAAGCAGAGUUGGAUAUAACCUUGGUGAGCUUACUAGGUGAUACUUAUCCUGGGAUGCUUAUAUAAUGGAACAGUGAUACUCUUAAAACUGGAGAACUGGAGUCAAGCAGCAACAGGAAGAUACAAGAAUGACACCUAUACACUUCUGAGACCAUGGAGAAAGAAAGAGGCAGCCACCAUCCUGGAGAAGCAGUAUCUUCAGUGGGCAGACACCUGGUAUACCAGGGUAAGGGUAAGGAACCUUCAGAAAGAAGGUUCUGUGCAGGAGGGUUGUGCUGCUGCUACAUUAUGAGUUCCAAAUUGUAGGGGGGUGGGAAGGUUUGGAGAAUUGGUAAAAGUGGAAAAUUGAAUCAGACAAUGGAUUUUCAGAGCAUAGUGGGGUGAAAAUAUAAAAGAUGACCCAGAGAGCUGGGACUUUUUAUAUAAAGUAAGGCA